AGUGAACGCUGGCGGUAGGCCUAACACAUGCAAGUCGAACGGCAGCACAGUAAGAGCUUGCUCUUACGGGUGGCGAGUGGCGGACGGGUGAGGAAUACAUCGGAAUCUACUUUUUCGUGGGGGAUAACGUAGGGAAACUUACGCUAAUACCGCAUACGACCUACGGGUGAAAGCAGGGGAUCUUCGGACCUUGCGCGAUUGAAUGAGCCGAUGUCGGAUUAGCUAGUUGGCGGGGUAAAGGCCCACCAAGGCGACGAUCCGUAGCUGGUCUGAGAGGAUGAUCAGCCACACUGGAACUGGGACACGGUCCAGACUCCUACGGGAGGCAGCAGUGGGGAAUAUUGGACAAUGGGCGCAAGCCUGAUCCAGCCAUACCGCGUGGGUGAAGAAGGCCUUCGGGUCGUAAAGCCCUUUUGUUGGGAAAGAAAAGCAGCAGGUUAAUACCCCGCUGUUCUGACGGUACCCAAAGAAUAAGCACCGGCUAACUUCGUG
rnacentral:rRNA from 1 species